rnacentral:rRNA from 1 species
UACGGGGGGAGCAAGCGUUGUUCGGAUUUACUGGGCGUAAAGGGCGCGUAGGCGGCCACCGCAAGUCGGUUGUGAAAUCUCCGGGCUUAACCCGGAAAGGUCAAUCGAUACUGCGGGGCUAGAGUGCAGAAGGGGCAACUGGAAUUCUCGGUGUAGCGGUGAAAUGCGUAGAUAUCAGGAGGAACACCUGCGGUGUAGACGGCUUACUGGACCAUAACUGACGCUGAGGCACGAAAGCGUGGGUAGCAAACGGG